CUAAACAAGAUAAGAUCACAAUAAAGAUGAGUUAGGGUGUGUACCUGAACCGCUUCCUAGGCGCUAUUAUAAAACAUCAAUGCUUAAUUUAGAUGGUGUAUCACACAACAUGUAUCUUCAUCAAAUAGGAUCAAAUAAUCAAAUAAAUAUCAAGACAAUCAAGUAUGGCACCAAACAGGGCAAUGGCAUGCAUAUUCACAGAAUUCAUAAAGUAGGUGAUAGAGGACAUACCUGGAUAGCAUAGAUAAUUUGUAACAUACUUCCUCAAGUUGUAAGGGGUUAGAUAAUAAAUAAUAAAAUAUAGAAAUCCUAGCAUGCUCGUUAUCUAAUUAGCAUAGCAAAAGUGAUCAAAGUAUACAAAAUCAUCAAUUAUCACAUACAUCUUAUAUAUAAUUCCUAAAAAAUAGAUAGACGUGAUUUCAACAAGUGUCAAAUGUGGCAACAAAAAUAAAUUUUGAAAAGAUUUUCUUAUGUAGGGGUUUCACCAAUUCCCCAAUCGAUAUACACGAAUUUAGCUUAGAAUUAUCCCAUUU
rnacentral:lncRNA from 1 species